UACAGAGGGUGCAAGCGUUGUUCGGAAUUAUUGGGCGUAAAGGGCGCGUAGGCGGUGCGGUAAGUCUGUAGUGAAAUCUCUGGGCUCAACUCAGAGUCUGCUGCAGAAACUGCCGUGCUUGAGUGUGGGAGAGGUGAGUGGAAUUCCCAGUGUAGCGGUGAAAUGCGUAGAUAUUGGGAGGAACACCAGUGGCGAAGGCGGCUCACUGGACCGGUUCUGACGCUGAAGCGCGAAAGCGUGGGGAGCAAACGGG
rnacentral:rRNA from 1 species